GUGGGGAAUUUUGGACAAUGGGCGAAAGCCUGAUCCAGCAAUACCGCGUGUGUGAAGAAGGCCUUCGGGUUGUAAAGCACUUUUGUCCGGAAAGAAAUCCUUUGGGUUAAUACCUCGGAGGGAUGACGGUACCGGAAGAAUAAGGACCGGCUAACUACGUGCCAGCAGCCGCGGUAAUACGUAGGGUCCGAGCGUUAAUCGGAAUUACUGGGCGUAAAGCGUGCGCAGGCGGUUUUGUAAGACAGAUGUGAAAUCCCCGGGCUUAACCUGGGAAUUGCAUUUGUGACUGCAAGGCUAGAGUGUGUCAGAGGGGGGUAGAAUUCCACGUGUAGCAGUGAAAUGCGUAGAGAUGUGGAGGAAUACCGAUGGCGAAGGCAGCCCCCUGGGAUAACACUGACGCUCAUGCACGAAAGCGUGGGGAGCAAACAGGAUUAGAUACCCGAGUAGUCC
rnacentral:rRNA from 1 species